rnacentral:rRNA from 1 species
CGGACGGGUGAGUAACGCGUGAGUAUCUGCCCUAAGGUGGGGGACAACCAUUGGAAACGAUGGCUAAUACCCCAUAUGCCGAGAGGUGAAAGGUUUACUGCCUUGGGAUGAGCUCGCGUCUGAUUAGCUAGAUGGUGGGGUAACGGCUUACCAUGGCGACGAUCAGUAGCUGGUCUGAGAGGAUGAUCAGCCACACUGGGACUGAGACACGGCCCAGACUCCUACGGGAGGCAGCAGUGGGGAAUUUUCCGCAAUGGGCGAAAGCCUGACGGAGCAACGCCGCGUGAGGGAUGAAGGCCUCUGGGCUGUAAACCUCUUUUCUCAAGGAAGAAGAUCUGACGGUACUUGAGGAAUAAGCCACGGCUAAUUCCGUGCCAGCAGCCGCGGUAAUACGGGAGUGGCAAGCGUUAUCCGGAAUUAUUGGGCGUAAAGCGUCCGCAGGCGGCCUUUUAAGUCUGUUGUCAAAGCGUGGAGCUUAACUCCAUUUGAGCAAUGGAAACUGGAAGGCUUGAGUGUGGUAGGGGCAGAGGGAAUUCCCGGUGUAGCGGUGAAAUGCGUAGAUAUCGGGAAGAACACCAGUGGCGAAGGCGCUCUGCUGGGCCAUCACUGACGCUCAUGGACGAAAGCCAGGGGAGCGAAUGGGAUUAGAUACCCCAGUAGUC